rnacentral:rRNA from 1 species
AGCCUUAGACAUACUGUACCAAUUCCUAAUUUUGUCAGGUUUUAAAAAGUAAGCAGCAUCAGGCCUGGUUAGUACUUGGAUGGGAGACCAUAUAAGAUGGCUACACCCGGUCACUGCGCUUU